UACGAAGGGGGCUAGCGUUGCUCGGAAUGACUGGGCGUAAAGGGCGCGUAGGCGGUUUGUACAGUCAGAUGUGAAAUUCCUGGGCUUAACCUGGGGGCUGCAUUUGAUACGUGCAGACUUGAGUGAGGAAGAGGGUUGUGGAAUUCCCAGUGUAGAGGUGAAAUUCGUAGAUAUUCGGAGGAACACCAGUGGCGAAGGCGGCUCACUGGUCCGGUACUGACGCUGAGGUGCGAAAGCGUGGGGAGCAACAGG
rnacentral:rRNA from 1 species